rnacentral:misc_RNA from 1 species
GAUGAAGAACGCAGCGAAAUGCGAUAAGUAAUGUGAAUUGCAGAGUUCAGUGAAUCAUCGAAUCUUUGAACGCACAUUGCGCCCGCCAGUAUUCUGGCGGGCAUGCCUGUCCGAGCGUCAUUUCAACCCUCAUGCCCCUAGGGCGUGGUGUUGGGGAUCGGCCAAAGCCCGCGAGGGACGGCCGGCCCCUAAAUCUAGUGGCGGACCCGUCGUGGCCUCCUCUGCGAAGUAGUGAUAUUCCGCAUCGGAGAGCGAUGAGCCCCUGCCGUUAAACCCCCAACUUUCCAAGGUUGACCUCAGAUCAGGUAGGAAUACCCGCUGAACUUAAGCAUAUCAAUAAGCGGAGGA